GAAGGUUGGCUAAUCCUGGUCGGACAUCAGGAGGUUAGUGCAAUGGCAUAAGCCAGCUUGACUGCGAGCGUGACGGCGCGAGCAGGUGCGAAAGCAGGUCAUAGUGAUCCGGUGGUUCUGAAUGGAAGGGCCAUCGCUCAACGGAUAAAAGGUACUCCGGGGAUAACAGGCUGAUACCGCCCAAGAGUUCAUAUCGACGGCGGUGUUUGGCACCUCGAUGUCGGCUCAUCACAUCCUGGGGCUGAAGUAGGUCCCAAGGGUAUGGCUGUUCGCCAUUUAAAGUGGUACGCGAGCUGGGUUUAGAACGUCGUGAGACAGUUCGGUCCCUAUCUGCCGUGGGCGCUGGAGAACUGAGGGGGGCUGCUCCUAGUACGAGAGGACCGGAGUGGACGCAUCACUGGUGUUCGGGUUGUCAUGCCAAUGGCACUGCCCGGUAGCUAAAUGCGGAAGAGAUAAGUGCUGAAAGCAUCUAAGCACGAAACUUGCCCCGAGAUGAGUUCUCCCUGACUCCUUGAGAGUCCUGAAGGAACGUUGAAGACGACGACGUUGAUAGGCCGGGUGUGUAAGCGCAGCGAUGCGUUGAGCUAACCGGUACUAAUGAACCGUGAGGCUUAACCUUACAACGCCGAAG
rnacentral:rRNA from 1 species